GAGUUUGAUCAUGGCUCAGGACGAACGCUGGCGGCGUGCCUAAUACAUGCAAGUCGAGCGGACUUAUGGGAGCUUGCUCCCUAAAGUCAGCGGCGGACGGGUGAGUAACACGUGGGCAACCUGCCUGUAAGACUGGGAUAACUUCGGGAAACCGGAGCUAAUACCGGAUAGGUUUUUCCUCCGCAUGGAGGAAGAUGGAAAGACGGUUUCGGCUGUCACUUACAGAUGGGCCCGCGGCGCAUUAGCUAGUUGGUGGGUAAUGGUUCACCAAGGCGACGAUGCGUAGCCGACUGAGAGGGUGAUCGGCCACACUGGGACUGAGACACGGCCAGACUCCUACGGGAGCAGCAGUA
rnacentral:rRNA from 1 species